CCUAAGACAUGCAUGGCAAAUAAAAGGGUCUCACUGGAUUUCAAAUAAGGGGAAUAAUCAAUGUUAAGUGCUGCCUUGUUGGAUUUCUUCCUGAUUUUUUUGAAGCUCCGAUUUAUAACUUCAGGUGGCCUGCACCAGACCCACAGGGCAGUAACAGUCUUCCACUGAAUUCUUUAGCAGUUUUUACAAUUGCGUAAGGGAGGGCUGGACCUCUGCUGAAGUGAUGACAGUUUCUGAACCAGC
rnacentral:lncRNA from 1 species